CUUCCUGCGGGAUGAAUGAUGUAAGCUGAGGACAGCAGGUGAGAGUGGAGGGGGCAACGACAGAGACAGAUGGCGACGCUCGUGGAAAGCUAGCCCUGGGCUCAGGGGCUCCCUCGGUGUCCAGGCCCCAAUCCAGGAUAAUGAUGCCAAGGAGCACCAUCCCUCUUCACUAGCUUUUGGGAAACCUGUCAGACCCUCGGCCUGGAUGAUGGUCACUACCAGGAUUUUCACCCAGGUGGAAGGCCAUGUACUGCAGCCACAGGAGGGAGCUGCUGGGCGAGCUCAGCACCAGUCGGUCAAAGUCCUCGGCCGACUCCGGCUGUCGCCCAGGAUCCAUCAGCGCCUCCUCGAUGCGGGACAGCUCCUUCUCGGCCUUCUGCUUCUCCAGCUCCCUCUCCUUCUUGCUUUUCUUCUUCUGCUGUGGAAAGCAGAGCAGCAGAAAAUGAGGACAAGAAAGGGGUGCUGAUGACAGCCCAGUCCUGAGGCAGGAGACCAGAGACCUUCCUCCCGGAGCAGCCUCCUCCCCAGCCCCGCCACCCCUCACCUUGGGCAAC